AGAAAUUCUCCGGUCCAAGAUGGGAAGCUUUGGUGAAGAAGGGUGCCAAGAAACAGAGGUUGCUCUGGGCCUCAACUAGUGUCAAGAACCCUGCCUACCCUGACACCCUAUAUGUUGCUCCUCUCAUUGGACCUGACACGGUGAGCUAUCUUCUUUCUGAAUAAAGUUUUCAAAAUGAGUUGAUGAAUAAUCCCAUAAUCUUUUCUGUCAUUUUGGUGCUGUUUGCAGGUCUCAACCAUGCCUGACCAAGCACUCCAAGCCUUUAUAGACCACGGCACAGUUUCAAGGACGAUUGACGCAAACGUGUCUGAAGCUGAAGGCAUCUAUAGUGCACUUGAGAAGUUGG
rnacentral:lncRNA from 1 species